CUGGCGGCAGGCCUAACACAUGCAAGUCGAGCGGAUGAAGGGAGCUUGCUCCUGGAUUUAGCGGCGGACGGGUGAGUAAUGCCUAGGAAUCUGCCUGGUAGUGGGGGAUAACGUUCCGAAAGGAACGCUAAUACCGCGUACGUCCUACGGGAGAAAGCAGGGGACCUUCGGGCCUUGCGCUAUCAGAUGAGCCUAGGUCGGAUUAGCUAGUUGGUGAGGUAAUGGCUCACCAAGGCGACGAUCCGUAACUGGUCUGAGAGGAUGAUCAGUCACACUGGAACUGAGACACGGUCCAGACUCCUACGGGAGGCAGCAGUGGGGAAUAUUGGACAAUGGGCGAAAGCCUGAUCCAGCCAUGCCGCGUGUGUGAAGAAGGUCUUCGGAUUGUAAAGCACUUUAAGUUGGGAGGAAGGGUUGUACGUUAAUACCGUGCAAUUUUGACGUUACCGACAGAAUAAGCACCGGCUAACUUCGUGCCAGCAGCCGCGGUAAUACGAAGGGUGCAAGCGUUAAUCGGAAUUACUGGGCGUAAAGCGCGCGUAGGUGGUUCAGUAAGUUGGAAGUGAAAUCCCCGGGCUCAACCUGGGAACUGCUUUCAAAACUGCUGAGCUAGAGUACGGUAGAGGGUAGUGGAAUUUCCUGUGUAGCGGUGAAAUGCGUAGAUAUAGGAAGGAACACCAGUGGCGAAGGCGACUACCUGGACUGAUACUGACACUGAG
rnacentral:rRNA from 1 species